CACUGACACACACAACAAUCUUCAUCAACAUGACCUUCAUCAUCAUCUUCAUCUGGACUCUCACAGCGUUUGCUCAAGAGAGUAGAGGACAGAUCAGCGUCACUCAGAGUCCCUCAACGACAGCAGCUCAACCAGAAGAAACAGUCAAAAUCAACUGUAGAACCAGCACAGAUGUGUACAGAUAUAGUGAUGGGGAUGAAGGAUUAUUCUGGUACCUACAGAAACCUGGAGAAACUCCUAAACUCCUGAUUCGUUAUGUAAAAAGCCUUGAGUCAGGAACUCCAUCUAGAUUCAGUGGCAGUGGAUCUAACAGAGAUUUCACUUUGACCAUCAGUGGAGUCCAGACUGAAGAUGCUGGACAUUAUUACUGUCAGAGUUUUCAUUGCAGAAAAAGUGGUGGUUCUUGUGUGGCUGAUCGUAUAUUCACACAGUGAUAAAGAGUCAUACAAAAACCUCCGUCAGUCAGAGUCACAGUGAUGAACUGAUGCUGCAGCUGCUCAAACACUAUCACUCACUACUGACACACAGAGACCAA